GUCACGUGCGUGCGCGUGUACUCACGGUGUUCCGGAGCUCCUGCAUCGCCACGCUCAUCCUGGAGCUCCGUGACCGGAAACAGCUACCGACGGCGCAUCGCCCCGUGCGUGUGUCCGCCGCACCGUGCGUGUGUCCGUUGUCGCGCGCAGCAGCUCAAACAACAAAACAG